AAGGCUUUAGCUUAAUUAAAGUGUCUGGGUUGCAUUCAGAAGUUGUGGGAUAGAGUCCUGCAGGUCUUA
rnacentral:tRNA from 1 species